AUUGAACGCUGGCGGCAGGCCUAACACAUGCAAGUCGAACGAGUGGCGGACGGGUGAGUAAUGUCUGGGAAACUGCCUGAUGGAGGGGGAUAACUACUGGAAACGGUAGCUAAUACCGCAUACCAUCGGAUGUGCCCAGAUGGGAUUAGCUGGUUGGUGGGGUAACGGCUCAACAAGGCGACGAUCCCUAGCUGGUCUGAGAGGAUGACCAGCGAGACUGUAACGGAGACACGGGCCAGACUGCUACGGGAGGCAGCAGGGGGGAAGAUUGGACAAGGGGCGCAAGCCUGAUACAGCCAUGCCGCGUGUAUGAAGAAGGCCUUUGGGUUGUAAAGUACUUUCAGCGGGGGGGCGUUACCCGCAGAAGAAGCACCGGCUAACUCCGUGCCAGCAGCCGCGGUAAUAC
rnacentral:rRNA from 1 species